rnacentral:rRNA from 1 species
AGAUUGAACGCUAGCGGCAUGCCUAACACAUGCAAGUCGAACGGUAACAGGCCCUUCGGGGUGCUGACGAGUGGCGGACGGGUGAGUAAGGCAUCGGAAUCUGCCCUGAUGUGGGGGAUAACGUAGGGAAACUUACGCUAAUACCGCAUACGACCGAGAGGUGAAAGCGGGGACCGGAAAGGCCUCGCGCAGCAGGAUGAGCCGAUGUCCGAUUAGCUGGUUGGUGGGGUAACGGCCCGACCAACGGCGACGAUCGGUAGCUGGUCUGAGAGGACGACCAGCCACACUGGGACUGAGACACGGCCCAGACUCCUACGGGAGGCAGC